UAGAUCAGUCUCAAUGUGGGAACAUC
rnacentral:sRNA from 1 species